UAUAUUUCUUCGGAGAUAGAGACCGGCGCACGGGUGCGUAACGCGUAUGCAAUCUACCUUUUACAGAGGGAUAGCCCAGAGAAAUUUGGAUUAAUACCUCAUAGUAUUACGACUCGGCAUCGAGUUGUAAUUAAAGUCACAACGGUAAAAGAUGAGCAUGCGUCCCAUUAGCUAGUUGGUAAGGUAACGGCUUACCAAGGCUACGAUGGGUAGGGGUCCUGAGAGGGAGAUCCCCCACACUGGUACUGAGACACGGACCAGACUCCUACGGGAGGCAGCAGUGAGGAAUAUUGGACAAUGGGCGCAAGCCUGAUCCAGCCAUGCCGCGUGCAGGAUGACGGUCCUAUGGAUUGUAAACUGCUUUUAUACGAGAAGAAACACUCCUUCGUGAAGGAGCUUGACGGUAUCGUAAGAAUAAGGAUCGGCUAACUCCGUGCCAGCAGCCGCGGUAAUACGGAGGAUCCAAGCGUUAUCCGGAAUCAUUGGGUUUAAAGGGUCCGUAGGCG
rnacentral:rRNA from 1 species